UCUGGGCACAGUGGCAUGUGCCUGUAGUCCCAGCUGCUCAGGAGGCUGAGGUGGGAGGAUCACGAGCUCAGGAGUUCUGGGCUGUAGUGCACUAUGCCAAUUGGGUGUCUGCACUAAGUUUGGCAUCAAUAUGGUGACCUCCUGGGAGCAGGAGACCACCAGGUUGCCUAAGGAGGGGUGAACUGGCCUAGGUCAGAAAUGGAGCAGGUCAAAACUCCCGUGCUGAUCAGUAGUGGGAUAGUGCCUGUGAAUAGCCACUGCACUCCAGCCUGGGCAACAUAGUGAGACCCCAUCUCU
rnacentral:SRP_RNA from 1 species